UGUCUGGUUUAGGUCACUGACAAAUGUUAAAUAAGUACUGUGAAGACAUGAAGUACGGGCUAUUAAAGGAUUCCUUCCAUAUUCUUAAGAAGGGUGGUAGUUUUUCUUUCUGAACCAUUGUAAUUUUUUAUUUUUUUCCGUUUGAAACCAGAGUUGUUGCAUGGCACUGAAAAGCUUUAAAGACAAUGCUGUUACACAAUAUUUGGGUGUAGGAGAAAUCUGAAAACUACGGGCUAGGUUGUUAUUGGUAGAUUUCCAGGAAAACUUAUGAAUACAACUCUGAGGUUCAGAUUGGUGCAGUUGUUGGUUCCCUUACAGAUAUAUAUCAGUAUGGACAUGCAAGAAAAGCAGGUUAAGUGCAUUUUUUUUCACAACUAAGUGACUGUGGAGGUGGAUGACAGGAUCCUCUGGACAUAAUGUUCAGGAAGAUGAAAAAAAACAAAAAAAAAGAUGCAAAUAUACAGUAUGAUUCCGGAAUGCUACCCCAAGCAGUUACAACAUACCCAGGUUUAGGGUUCCUGCAGUCUUCAAGCCGCAAAAUUUAAUAAUGACUGGCAGAGACGUAUUCUUGCUGGCACGCAUGGCUGUAUGUUUAUUUUACAACGGUUGCAAAGAGCAAAUCAAAAUACAUUCUGGUACAGAUGAUGAGUGCAGCAGGCACUGGCUAUUGUUUCAACAGAAAACGGAGCAGACUACAAGACAAGCUGGUUCUGAGGAAGCAUGACCCAAGAG